rnacentral:rRNA from 1 species
AAGACCUUUUUCGAAAGGUAUGCUUAAAGAGGGGCUUGCGCCAUAUUAGUUAGUUGGUAGGGUAAAAGCCUACCAAGACGAUGAUAUGUAGCUGGACUGAGAGGUUGAACGGCCACAUUGGGACUGAGACACGGCCCAAACUCCCACGGGAGGCAGCAGUAGGGAAUUUUCGGCAAUGGAGGAAACUCUGACCGAGCAACGUCGCGUGAACGAUGAAGUAUUUCGGUAUGUAAAGUUCUUUUAUUGAAGAAGAAAAAAUAGUGGAAAAACUAUCUUGACGCUAUUCAAUGAAUAAGCCCUGGCUAAUUAUGUGCCAGCAGCCGCGGUAAUACAUAAAGGGCGAGCGUUAUCCGGAAUUAUUGGGCGUAAAGGGUGCGUAGGCGGUUUGUUAAGUCUUUAGUUUAAUCUCAGUGCUUAACGCUGUUCUGCUAGAGAAACUGACUUACUAGAGUGAGAUAGAGGCAAGUGGAAUUCCAUGUGUCAGCGGUAAAAUGCGUAAAUAUAUGGAGGAACACCAGAGGCGUAGGCGGCUUGCUGGGUCUUUACUGACGCUGAGGCACGAAAGCGUGGGGAGCAAACAGGAUUAGAUACCCUGGUAGUCCACGCCGUAAACGAUGAGUACUAAGUGUCGGGGAAACUCGGUACUGAAGUUAACGCAUUAAGUACUCCGCCUGAGUAGUACGUACGCAAGUAUGAAACUUAAAGGAAUUGACGGGAUCCCGCACAAGCGGUGGAUCAUGUUGUUUAAUUCGAAGAUACACGAAAAACCUUACCAGGUCUUGACAUACUCUGCAAAGCUGUAGAAAUACAGUGGAGGUUAUCAGGGAUACAGGUGGUGCAUGGUUGUCGUCAGCUCGUGUCGUGAGAUGUUAGGUUAAGUCCUAGAACGAGCGCAACCCUUGUCGUUAGUUACCAGCACGUUAUGGUGGGCACUUUAACGAGACUGCCAAUGAAAUAUUGGAGGAAGGUGAGGAUUACGUCAAAUCAUCAUGCCCCUUAUGAUCUGGGCUACAAACGUGAUACAAUGGCUGUUACAAAGAGUAGCUGAAACGUGAGUUUUUGGCCAAUCUCAAAAAAACAGCCUCAGUUCGGAUUGAAGUCUGCAACUCGACUUCAUGAAGUUGGAAUCGCUAGUAAUCGCAAAUCAGCA